AGUUUGAUCAUGGCUCAGGAUGAACGCUAGCGGCAGGCUUAACACAUGCAAGUCGAGGGGUAGAGGAAGCUUGCUUCUUGAGACCGGCGCACGGGUGCGUAGCGCGUAUGCAAUCUACCUUAUACAGGGGGAUAGCCCAGAGAAAUUUGGAUUAAUACCCCAUAGUAUAAUUGAAUGGCAUCAUUUAAUUAUUAAAGUUCCAACGGUAUAAGAUGAGCAUGCGUCCAUUAGCUAGUUGGUGUGGUAACGGCACACCAAGGCGACGAUGGGUAGGGGUCCUGAGAGGAGAUCCCCCACACUGGUACUGAGGCACGGACCAGACUCCUACGGGAGGCAGCAGUGAGGAAUAUUGGUCAAUGGGCGCAAGCCUGAACCAGCCAUGCCGCGUGCAGGAUGACGGUCCUAUGGAUUGUAAACUGCUUUUGUACAGGAAGAAACACUCCCUCGUGAGGGAGCUUGACGGUACUGUAAGAAUAAGGAUCGGCUAACUCCGUG
rnacentral:rRNA from 1 species